rnacentral:rRNA from 1 species
UACGUAGGGAGCAAGCGUUGUUCGGAUUUACUGGGCGUAAAGGGCGCGUAGGCGGCGCGACAAGUCACUUGUGAAAUCUCCGGGCUUAACUCGGAACGGUCAAGUGAAACUGUCAUGCUAGAGUGCAGAAGGGCAAUCGGAAUUCUUGGUGUAGCGGUGAAAUGCGUAGAUAUCGUUUGGAACGCCAAUGGUGAAACAGGUAACUGGAGUGU